rnacentral:rRNA from 1 species
UCCGUAGGCGGGUUUAUAAGUCAGUGGUGAAAGUUUGCGGCUCAACCGUAAAAUUGCCAUUGAUACUGUAGAUCUUGAAUUAGUGUGAAGUGGUUAGAAUAAGUAGUGUAGCGGUGAAAUGCAUAGAUAUUACUUAGAAUACCAAUUGCGAAGGCAGAUCACUAACAUUAUAUUGACGCUGAUGGACGAAAGCGUGGGGAGCGAACAGGAUUAGAUACCCUGGUAGUCC